CAAAAACGACUCUCGGCAACGGAUAUCUAGGCUCUUGCAUCGAUGAAGAACGUAGCGAAAUGCGAUACUUGGUGUGAAUUGCAGAAUCCCGUGAACCAUCGAGUCUUUGAACGCAAGUUGCGCCCGAAGCCUUCUGGCCAAGGGCACGUCUGCCUGGG
rnacentral:rRNA from 22 species